CUUCAUCUUCUUCCUCUUUUUUUCCUUCUUGGAUUGGAUUGUCCUUUAAAACAAACUUAAAAUUAUCUAUGUCCUUAUGUUGGCCAUCAUAUAGGAGAAAAUCUGGAGCAUCCAACUCUGCAUCUAUGAAGGACUGAUGAACUCCAGAUGUUUCAUCCUCUUGAAAGCAUUCUGGUAAAUGGGGCUCUUUUUCUUCUUC
rnacentral:lncRNA from 1 species